UACCUUGCUUCUCAACAUUGUUGUACUCAUUGUUACCAUUGUAAUAGUUGUUGUUGUUCUGGUUUUCCUUAGUACUCCAUCCUUUCUCAGUGAACAUGGCCUCAUUGUUACCAUUGUAAUAGUUGUUGCUAUUCUGGUUUUCCUUAGUACUCCACCCUUUCUCAGUGAACAAGGCCUCAUUGUUACCAUUGUAAUAGUUGCCAUUGUAGUUGUUGGUUUCCUUGGUGGUCCAUCCUUUCUCAUUGAACCUGGCUUCACUUUGCUGCUCAGUGUUCCCGUAGGCAUUUGUCUUGCUAUAAAAGUAAGAGUCUUUGUUGUUGGUUUUGGACGCUGGGAUGCUAUUGUAGGGUUCAUCAGGGUGGUAUUUAACAGGUGUGACAUAGGGUUCAUAGGUUUCUUUGGUACUGGUGGUGCUAGGAGGGAGCUGACCAGACUCGUGACCGUAAAGCCCAUAGCCAUUUUGGGUCUCGGGGACAAACCUUGGCUCUUGCUCCUUCUUCCCCAAAGUGGUUUGUUCUUCUUUGUUGGUCACCUCUUUCUCAUUUGUGUUAACACUUGGGAUUUUGCUAAAAAAAUCCCUACCAUGUAUUUCAACGGAGAAGAGGGCUAAAAGGAAGAAGUAAGAGAUGAAUUUUGGUGAAGAAGCCAUUGGCAAAAAAAAAAAAAAAAAAGGGAAAGCAAAGAUUUUGUAGGUAAUGUAAGAGACUACACACUAACGAGGAAUACGUGAUGAUGCAAAGUGCUUAUAUAGAAAGAGUGGAAGAGCAAUGAUUUUGUUUUCACUCUAAAUUGUUAAAAUUUUCUACUCAAUUAACGGAGGGGGUGAAGAUGGUUAUGAUUGUAGGGACUUGGAUGAGAGAGAAAUAUCAAAAGAGGCCCUUUUACUUUGUGGUUUGUUGUUAAUCAACCAUGUUUCAUUUAUUUCAUUCUCAAUAUCAUGAACCCAAUGUUUUUAAAAUCAGAAAGAAUCAAAAGUAAUUAAUAUAAUUUUAUUAAAAUCUCAACUCUUCCUAGAUUCAAGUCACAAAUAAAUUCUGUUUGCAAUGUGUAAAUUAAUUACAAAUAUACCCAAAAAUAUAUAUAAUUUUAUUGUAUAUUGACAUACAUUAUUAUGCAUAAAAAUAUAAAAUCCUUUUUAUGCAUAUAAAAAACAAUCAUGGCAUACAAAAGUUUAUGUUAAUUAUUAUAUUUUAAAAGUGGUUUUUGUAAAAUAAAUCUACUAGGAUUGUUUAUAAUUUCUAUUUCCCCACAGUGGGAAACAAGUGAAAUGUGUAAGCUUUAUUUGUUUUUUGGUCACAUAAGAUUCCCUCCUCACACUCCACUUAAUUCUUUACCAAACCUAUUAAUUAAGAUCACUAUUAUUUGUGUAUCAAACUAUUGAGUGUUUCGUAUCUUCUAAGCAAAACCCAAUUUCAUUUUAUUUUAAUAUUUUAAUAAAACUCAUCAAUUGUGUCUUAGCGUGUUGUCAAACUAGUGGAAGGACGUGGACGGAUUAUGAGUAAUUUUAAACAUCAUAUAUAAAAAAAACAUAUAUGAUCAGAACUUAUAAAUUUAUUAUUUCAUUUUUCUAUCUCUUAAAAAAAUAAUAAAAGGGCAAAAAAAAAAAUUAAAGUUUAAGAGAUUUGAAGGAAAAAUGUGUUGGGUGGCUGGUUGGAUUUAAUUCAAAUUAAGUUUUCGAUUGGUUGAACUUAAAUUUAAAUUAAAUAACUUAAAAAUAUUUAUUUAAAUUUAAUUAUAAAAAAAUAAUAUUGAUAUAAAAUUAUAGAUUUUUAAAUUUUUUCAACAUUAAAAUUGACUACUUAAGUCGGUCGGAUCGAACUCAAAAAAAGAAAGAAUCAAGUCAUUACUCGAUCAAAAUCGAUCCAUUAAUUUUGGGAUAUUAUUUUUAACCUAAACCCUCUUAUAUCUGGUAACUAUAUCAAAUCUUAAAAAGCUUAGAACACAUUAUAAUGGUGGGAUAGGGAGGGGGGGGGAAUAGAGGGCAUCGUGGGCUGUGGAAAUUUAGAGAUGAAAGGGAGCGGCGGAUGAUACUGCGAGGAUUAAGGGGGAAUUGGUGGGACAUUAAACUAUGUCGUUUAGCGGCUGUCUCCAUGUUCUAUUUUUCUACACCGUAGGUUGAUUUUUUUUUUAUAAAAAUUAAUAAUUGAAUUUAGGUAUAAUUAUAUGUGCCUUAUUAUUAUUUAUAGGUUUUGAUUAUAUCUGUUCUUUUUGACACAAUGUCUAGAAUAGGUAUAGCCCCUUCUCAACCAAUAAAUAGGAGGAUAAUAGGCUUCAACGUACUCGAACUCACGUCCUCUUACAUUGGUAACAAUAUCCAUACUAAUCAAAUUAAGAUUCAAUCGACUAUUGUUUUUCAAUUUUUAAAGAGUAGUUAAGAAUUGUAAUUAAUAAUAACUUUUAAUGAUUAAAAAAUAUAUUUUUAUUAAAUAAGAAAAAAUAUAAUAUAAUAUAAAGAAUUAAAACAAAAUUUCACUUUAUUAAUUAAACACGUCUAAUAAUGUAUUUACCCUAAUAAGUUGCUUCAAAUGCAAAUUACUUCCAUAGCUAGCAAGGAAAAAACAAACAAACAUUCUUUAAUUGUAAUUGAAUAUUGGAUACCAAAUCUUUUUAAAUAAUCUUUAGUCAAAUAUAUAAAAUUUUACGAAAAUUAAUAGGAUUUAAAAAAUAAUUGAUUGAGUCUUAGUUUGAUUGGUAUGUACAUUGUUAUCAAUCCAGGAAGAUGUAGACUUAAAUACGCUGAAGUGCAUUGAAGAAUAUAGAGAGAGGCCAUAAGUAAUUCUAGAUAUUGCAUAAAAAAAACAGAUAUAAUCUAAACUUAUUUCUUUUUAUAAUUAUUCUGACUCACGUUUGAGACUCAUGCAACGAAAAUUCAAGCACCAAUGUCUAAAGCAACAUAAAUAUAUAUGAAAAAAAAGAAUGUUGUCAUUUUGUUUUGAUAGCCAAAUAACAUGAAAGUGCGACUUAAAGUCUAAUCUAAGGUUAAUCUUGAUUAACACAAAAUGAAUAUUUUUCACAUUAACAUUUUUUGAUUUAUGGGUUUUUGAUUAUUCUUAGCUGAAAAUAUUGCAUUCCCAUGUAAAAAGUUUUGGACAUAUAAAAAAAGUAUAAAGACUUAAAAUAUAAAUUAACCGACAUAUUAAACGCAAAAUAAUCUUUAAAAUUAUCUAUUUUUGAGAAGAGAUAUAACGUGGUCUUUAAUGUUUAAACUCACGAGUUAGGAAAAAAAUUGUAAAUUCUUACUCUUACUUUUGGUUUCUUGUUGCAUCCCAUUGAUUCAGUGAAGUUUUAGUUGCGUGAUCAGCGGCAGAGGUGCUUUCAGCCAAUGCAAAGCAUGUAUCCAUCAGAGCUGGCAAUCAAACUCCUCCCACCUAUUAACCUAAUUUUGAAAAUCAAUGUUUGCCAAAAAACAGACUAGUAAGACAUGUAUUUUAACAUAAAAGAAAAAGCAAAUUGAGUUUUAACUCGAUUGGUAUUGUUGUCAAUGCAAUAAGGCGUGGGUUUAAUUGCACUGAAGCGUAUUAUCCUCCUAUUUAUGGGUUAAGAGAGGCUAUGGGUAGUUCUAGGCAUUAUGUCAAAAAAAAAAAAAACAGAUAUAAUCAAAACUCAUAAUUAGAUUGUUCAGAAGAGAAGAAGAAAGGCACUAUCGCUAACUUCAAUUUACGUGAAUCAGAUUGAUUUUGGAUUUACUUAAAUUUGAUUUUAAAUCUUUUUGAAUUAUUUUAAGUUUGGAUUAGUUUAGGUAUGAAUUGUUUCGAGUUCAAGUUAUGUUUUUCCAGUUCUGGUCAUCUCAUUUUACUCCUUAAUAUCAUUUUAAAUUUGAUAUUUCGGUUUUAGAUGGAGCAAAUUCAAGUUUUUAACAUUUUAUAAUCAAAUUAUAUGAGAUCGAAUUUGAAUUCAAAUUAGUUGAAAAUACCCCAAAGUGUAGUAAAACACAAGCUACAUGAAACAGGAUGAAUAAAGUCAAAGCAAUUGGUCCCUAAAAAUGAGGUAAAAGUCUAAGGUAGCUGCCUGCAAAAUUCAACUAAACUGAAUUCACAAAAGUAGAGUUUCUGUUAAUGUGGUUGGGGUUUGGUAGGUUUACAUUUCAAGGAAAUUUGAUGGGUAAAGUAGUUGUACAUCAAAUAAAUUCAAAGUUAUUAGUUGGGUUCAGUAAUUCCCUACCAACAUUUAAAAUAAGAGUUGGUUUUGUAGUAAUAAAUAAGUGGGUGAUGGACAUAUCAAUUGAUUGGUUAUAUCAUUUUUAGUAGGAUCAAUUUCGGUUAGUUAGAUUAUUUUAAAUUCAAGUUGUUUCGGGCUUUCAUCAUUCAGAUUGAGAUUUGUUUUUUUAGUAUUAUUCAUGUUCGUUUUAGGGUCCAUGUUCGGGAUUUGUGGCUGUUCCUCUCAAUAAUAUUGUUUUCAAGCUUCAAAUUUAGGUUCUCCGUUUGAGAGUGCAAUGCACCUUACCAUUACAUCCAAUCACUUGUUGAUUGUUUUGUCAUUUUAAAUGGAUCGUUUUAAAUUAUUUAUUUAAAUUAUUUUAAGCUCAAAUUAUUUUAGAUAUAAUUCAUUUCGAUUUUAAAUUUUUUGAAUUAAUUUAAUUUUGAAUUAUUUUAAAUUUAAAUUAAUUUUAUUUUUAAAAUAAAUUAAUUCGAAUUCAAAUAGAUGCAUUGGACCUGCUCAUGGCAUUGAUAAGGUGUGGGCUAGGCGAAGGUCAAAAUGCUACAAUGAAAUCCAUGUGGUAAAUAAUGGUCCCAAUGAAAGCACAUCAAGAAUCACAAGGGACCAAAUAAUCAAGAGAAUUUAAGCACUUAUGAUUUUAGUAGUAUUAUGGAUGGUCUUAUAUUAAGAGUUAAAAAUGAAUAAAUUAAUCUUUAUACUUAAAUUAAAGAGUAAGUAGAUACUUCCAACAACUUUCGUCCAUUUUUAUUGUUGAAAACCAGCAUGAUUGAUAGAAUAAUCGAACAGUUACACUUGAUAUGUCAUGUGUAUCUCAUUUUAACAUAUAGGGACUAGUUUUUAAUAGUAGAAAUGAAUAAAAUUUUUAACAAAAUGAUCAAUUUACCCUUUAAUCUAAUGUAUAAGAAAUAAUUUACCUAUUUUUUAAUAGAACGAGCAAAAUACAUUUCGACUCUCAAUGACUAAUUCAAUUAAUAAACAUCCCUUUACCCCACCAUUUCCCUUGCCAUCAAUCCAAUUUUAUAUCUUUCAAAUUUCAAAUUUGAUUUUAUUUAAAAUUUUAAUAUUCAAACUCGAUAAAGAAAAUCUCCAACUCGUAUCUAAUCCGCCCUGCUCCACCCUGAUAUAAUAAACAAAUUCUUUUAUAAAAACUUAUAGAAGUUUUUAAAAAUCUAAUUAAAAAAUAAAAACAGUUAUAAAAUUAAAAAAAAUAUUUGGAUAAAUUAUUUGAGAAAAGACAUCUUAUUAUAGGUUCUGAUUAUAUCUAUUAUUUUUGGCACAAUACCUCGAACUAUUCAUAACCCUAACCCAUAAAAUCUGCUUUUACAAGGUAUGAUUUGAAUUUUUUGGGUGAUUGAUAGUUGGGGGCAGUUGGACCUCCUGGAAAUCUCUGAGACCCUUUUUUGAGUAAAAAGAGAGACUUCCCACUUGGACUAAAGAAGGGGGACUUCUGCCGAGUGUCUCAAAAUUUUUAAUUUUUACAAACUUAUAUCAAUACCAACAUUUCUACCAAAAAUCAUUAAAAAAAUUGGUAAAAGUUAGAUAUAUGUGUAUGCUUCGAGCACAUGGGAGAAUUUACCUGAAGAAGGGAGAAGGCAAGUUGUCCAAAAUAAAGGUUAAAAGAACAAAAAGGAUAACGGUAACAAUCAUGAGAAUAUGCAUGCUGAAAUGAUUUCAUCUUCUUUAUCCUACCUAAAUAUUUGUGCAUAAUUCCGUAUGAAUCAUUAUUACUUUGCAGUAAAGCUCUAAUUGUGGUGCUAAAAGCAUAAAAAGUAAAAUCAAAAUGUAGCAGCUAGCAAGCCUGAUGGUAACUAUUUCAAUUUCCGAGCGUGAAAAACUCAGGCUGCAAAUUUCAAAAGUACAUAUCAUAUUGUAUUAAUCUGGACACUGGAAUAAACUCGUGUUGCUGGUUACCGCUGAUGUGAUGAUUAUACGCCGAUUGACCCGGUGCUGUGGUGUGUGCGUGUCCCAACUCAUCUUUCACCUUUUAGCUGUGCGGAAUCAGAUUCUAUAUUCUAGAUGACAGAAGAGAAUAUAAACUGCAAUGGAAGAGAUUUCUUGACCUAGCUGAACUGUGAUGACAGCACCAUCCAAGCACCCAGUACAGGGAAGGUAAUCAAUGCGGAAGCCUGAAAUACAACCAAAAUGAAUUAUACCAGUAAUUCAAGUAAAAUUUCAGGAACAGAAGAAGGCAGUAGAUACACGAGAACAUACCAGAAAGAAUACCAAUUCAUCAUUGACAAAAGCUGCAGUAAAUUCAUUUCUUCGCAUUUCUUGUUUGAUGAAACCUUGCAACUGUCAACAAACGGGUAAGAAACAAGAUAUUUGUUUAUUUCAUAGGCAAAGGUUUCCAGUGAAGGGAUACAUAUGUAUCUUUGUUCUUAGGCACUAUUGAUGCACAUUAACUAGUAAACUGGAACUUGUUUAUAUUAUUUCCCCUUAAACCAUUAACAUUAUUGCAACAAGCACAAGGUAGACAAUGAUGAAAUACAAAUUCCUGGUAAAUCUAAAUCCUUAAUUCGUAUAUCAAAUCAAAUUCUGCACUUCGGAGGAAAAAUGAAUUGUUAUCACCUAAGGACCAAAAAGUAUUAGAAUGCAGAAUUCAUGUUUGCAAAUGUUGCACAGAGAUGAUUGACAGAGGAUUCAAGUUGGAAGUGCAAGAUAAUUCUUGACUCUGUCUAACAAAUUAAUCUCACUGUGUUGAAAAAUAAUGCCCGCAUAAAGCUGAAACCAUUCCAGGCGACAUUCGCAUGGGACUCUAAGAUAGAGCCAAAGAAGGUUCACAAUCUAAGUCAUCAAGACACUAAUCGUACUCUCUAUAAUUCAGGGGAAAAGAAUCUUUUUAGCUGAUAGAACUAUGAUUCUAUGAUUACUGACAAUCUUGUUUACAAAACUGAGCAACCUAGUUGGAAGAGGCCAAAGGUUUCCAGAUUCAUGGUGAUUAAGCAUAAAACUGAUUUAGUAGAAAGAGAUCAUGCCUAGGAGUUUACACAGAGCCAAAGGAAACGGUCAACUUAUCCAUUGAGCAUUUUCUAUUGUUGGAAACUUUCACAAAGUAUACUUUUAUGUAGUUUUGACAUUGAAGAUCUCCAAGAGUAACCUGAUUCGUUUUGAGGUACAUUAAUCCUAGAAAAUCACAUUGCAAUGCUAAACAUACCUGAUGGUGAUACUUUUUAAUUGCUGAGUAAAAUCUUCUCAAUUGUUGCAGAGCUUGAGACAUGUAGUACUUAAUGGUAGAUCCUUUUCCGAAUGAAUAAUAUUCCAAUGCACCGAGCAUCUUUGGAAGAUGUCUUUCAGAAAGGUCAUUAAAGAACUAUAUUUGCAGAAAAGAUUUGAUUUGAUUUGAUUUGAUUAAGACUUGAAUGAAAGAUAAGCAUUUGGCAAAAUAUCAUUACUUUUACAAAAAAUUCAAAUGGACUGAGACAGAUGUAAAAAUAAUAAUAAUAAAAGGUCUGAAAGACUAUGUCAGCUUAUUAUAUUACCUUCAAGAAUGAGCAUCUCAUGUACCUUUGCCUUUGAUCUUGCAAUGCUCUCCUCUGUAUGACAAAAAGCAAUUAUGCUAAUUAACAGAUUGAUUAUAAUGGCAGAAUGUUUACUUUUUUCUUUUAAACUUCCUUAUGAAUUGACGAAUAACUGAUAUUAAUAAGGUCCAUCGAAGGCAAUACUUGUGCAAGUUGAAGCGCCUGCUCAAGAUGUUGAAUUUGAAUCCAUUGUUCUGUAACAACUUCUGCCAUCUGAAAACAAGGGAAUGAAACUUUAAGAGAGAAAAGUACAACUAUUUCAACAUCAGCAAUAGAGAAAACAAAAUCAAAACGGAAUAAUUUUUAUCAAGUUUUCGACACAACACAAUCAAGGAAAGGCCAAAUUAACCAAGAUUGAGUUCUGAGAACAAUGGUCAUUUCGAUUAACAAAAAAAAAAAAAGAAUAUCCGGGUGAAAAAACUUCCUUUAUUCUUUUUCUUUUCAUGGUUUAACAUCUUAGCAGCAACCAGAAACUGAAGUCUGAAUGAACCCCCUUCCCCAAAAACGAUACAUAAAUCUAGAAAUUAGAACAACAAUAAGAUGGUCUUUAAAGCAUUUUUGCUGUUCUUGAUGAAAAUUCUUUUAAGUUGAUAAAGGUCAUAAUAAUACACAGAAAUGCUUAGUCAUUCAACAUUCACUAGCAGAGUCUCUACACAGAAAUGAAAUUAAUGCAUGCACAAUGCUGACCUUUUCAACUUUUAAAUUAACAGCUUCCACCCUAUCCUCAGUGUCCUGUGCUUCCGAUUCCAUAACAUGAAGUUCAAAGUUGUUCUUUCUCGAAGCAUCCCAAAGCAAACGUACCUAGGAGAACGAGGCCUACUACUCAAGUCAGAUGAAUAUUGCAAAUAAAGCAAGCAUUACAGGCAAGGAAUCCAAUAGUAGAAAAAAAUGGAAUUAGGGAUUAUAUUUAUAUUAAACCAUUUAAACGAACCUCCUCUUCUAGAGCCUUAAGCUUUUCAUCAGCAAGUAAUGAAUCAUCCUGCAAUUAACAUAAUAUAGAAAUUACAAUUCAUAGCCGAAUAAACCCUAAUUUAGUACACUGAACUCUUCAAACUACGCUUCUUUAGGGAAAGACAUUCAAUAACUGAAAAUAAUUGAAAACAUAAUAAUAAAAAAGCAAAGCUUCUUGGCUAAGAAUUGAACCUUAAGAGUGGAUAUAACAGACUGCAGAUAAGUGAUCUUGUUUUCCAUGCCUUCGAGAAGCUUCUCGCGUUCCUUGAGAAGAAGGGUUUUAGCAUCAAUGCUUUGAAUUGUUUCUUCGAGAACAGAUUCUACAAUCAUAUUUACAAAGCAUCAAAGAAUUGAAGAUUACGAUUAGUAAUUUGUUUCUAAUGAAGCGUUUAUCGUUAAAAAGAAUUUGAGAGGGAAAAUUACCCAAACGAGAGAGCUUUAGCUUGGCGUCAUCCAAUUCACGGAUCAAGAGGUUGUGGUCGUUGUUAUUUAGUUGAUCUUGCGAUGUGAGAGAGAUGAAGAAGACGAAGAAGAAGAAACCAGUGAAAAUGGCGGGAAAGAGAGGAGCCGCCAUUGCUGCUUCUUGAAGUUGCUAAUACGAUCUUUUCUUAAAGAAGCUUUUUGUUGCUAAGAGAAAGAUGGAGUAAUGGUGGACUUUGGAAGGACAGAUCUGCUUUCCCAUAACUAACCAUUGUUUUUAAAGAAAUUGUUUAUUUGAUAUUGUACUUUUCAAAGGAUAAAAUAUUUAUUUUAGACAUUAUUUACUAAAUUUUAUAAAACUAAAGAAAAAAAAAAGUUAUAAGAGUCAAAAUUCAACUUUCAAAGCUCAAGUUACUAUUAAUAUCACGGGACUAAAACUUCUGACAAGUCGAAUCGAUUUAGUCAUUUUUAACGAAAAUAAAUCGACGAUCAAGAUUAGAGCUUCUCUACCAUUGAAAGUUCUAUAGGAUUUAAUCUGUAUAUAAUUUUAUCACUUUAAGAUUUACGCUAUUUAACCUAGUAACUCUAAUUUUAUAGAAAUGUUUCACUGAGCCAUAAAGGCUUCAAGUAUACGAGUUCCUUCAUGGGUUCCACGAAUCGGGACAGUUCAUAUGGGUCAAAUGUGAGUUGACUUCUAUGCGGCAUUUUGUGCACAAUAAUCACAUGCUUUAGUCUGUGACCCGUGACACUAGUCUAGAGAAUAAAAUAAAAAAUUAGAUUUAGACUAAUUUACCUGUGUACCUAUUGAAUCUCAUGCCUAGGCUUUUGCUCUACUCGAAUCUAACGUUUUGUUGCUUGGCUUUUCCUUUCUUUAAAGUGAUCAAAUUGUUUACACAUUUUGUGCUUCUUUGGUGGAACUACGAGGAGAGAUUAUAAAAGUUCCCUUUCUUCAGAAAGCAUCGAUGCUCUUGCAAGGUACAGAGCAUAAGCAUUCUUCUGGAGUCCCUUUGAAGCUUGGAUGGGGUGCUCGUUGCGCAUUUGAGCUAUCUUCCAUUAAUGGGAUAAGUUUGUUUGGUGAGCUUUUAUGCUUAAGCUUGUGUUUUGUUAGGCUGAAUUUGAGCCCAGAUUAUUGGAUAUCAACAAUAGUUCUCAGGUUUCAAAAUACCUUCCGAAAGAUCAGCAGUAACUGCUGCAAUAGGACUUGGCUCCACGGUGUGCUUCCUCUAGACUUUGACUAUCACUUCAGGACUGCACCCUAGGUCCGCCAGCAAAAUAAGCACAUACUUUUAUUUCAGCUGUUGUUGUUGCUAAUGAUGCGUGUUACAAGGUUUUUUGUUAUCAAAUUAUUGAUUAAUUAAUAAAAAAUGUUGUUAAUAUCACAGCUUGGACAGUUCUAAAUCAAGAAUAUGUAGCCUUAGAAGCAAGUUCUCUGCAUGAUGAAAUCACAAAUACUAUUCACAUGAUGUCUUUUUUUUUGGGCACGUAUUCUGUUUCCGGGCCUAAACAGAAACCAAAAAUGAAAAAAUAAAAAAACAAUAACAACAAGACUCAUUAACAACAGCCCAAGAUCCAAUUACAAAAUUACUGGCCCAAUACACAAACCCUAAAGCCCACAAUAUUAAUUUUUUUCAGAAAACUAAAACAAAACCCCAGCCCCUUCAUGCCGCGCCCCAUGUCGGCAUGCCCACCCCCGAGGUUUGCUCCCCUAACGCACCUCUUGCACCAAAAUGGCAAGACUUGAGUCUCGUUAUCGCUGUUGACUUCGCCACCUGCAAAAAAAGAUAAAGAAAAAAGACAGAGACCAAACAGUGCAAGAACAAACGCAUAACAGUAAAAUAUAAUAUGUAAAUCGACUUUAAAAGCCCCAACAAUCAAUGUAAUUUUUUUACGGAGAAAGCAAUAAAAAAAAGCAAAGAAAAAUCAAAUACAAAAAAAGCAAAGAGUUAACAAAAGUAGUUUUUUUUUAAAUCUCGUCUAAUAAAAAAGUAGUUUUUUUUUAAAUCUCGUCUAAUAAAAAAUAUAAAAGAGUAAAAAGGCUCGAUUUUUACCUUCGGUGCUUUGUCUUCGACCGUUGUAGGAAUCCAUCGUCGUAGGGGCUAUCUCUUUUUUUCUUUUUUCUUUUUUUAAAAAAAAACCCCAAGAAACUGAAAGGUUUCAUCUUUUAUUUUUAUUUUUGAAUUUUGGAUCAUUUUUUGGGAAUUUUGACUCCGGAUCCAUGCUCUACAAAAAAAAAGGACUCGAAAGGGAGUCUUUGUAACAGCCCAAUUUUCAAUAGUGUCAGAAUAGUGAUUU
rnacentral:lncRNA from 1 species